rnacentral:rRNA from 1 species
UACGUAGGGUGCAAGCGUUAUUCGGAAUUACUGGGCGUAAAGCGUGCGUAGGCGGUUAUGUAAGACAGGUGUGAAAUCCCCGGGCUUAACCUGGGAACUGCAUUUGUGACUACAUAGCUAGAGUACGGUAGAGGGGGAUGGAAUUCCGCGUGUAGCAGUGAAAUGCGUAGAUAUGCGGAGGAACACCGAUGGCGAAGGCAAUCCCCUGGACCUGUACUGACGCUCAUGCACGAAAGCGUGGGGAGCAAACAGG